rnacentral:rRNA from 1 species
UAGUAAUCGUGGAUCAGCAUGCCACGGUGAAUACGUUCCCGGGUCUUGUACACACCGCCCGUCACACCAUGGGAGCUGGUAACACCCGAAGUCAGUAGUCUAACCGCAAGGAGGACGCUGCCGAAGGUGGGAUUAGCGACUGGGGUGAAGUCGUAACAAGGUAAC